rnacentral:rRNA from 1 species
UUGGCUCAGGAUGAACGCUGGCGGCGUGCUUAACACAUGCAAGUCGAGCGAAGCACUCUGGAAGAUUCCUUCGGGAUGAUUCCUUAGUGACUUAGCGGCGGGCGGGUGAGUAACGCGUGGGCAACCUGCCUUGUACAGGGGGAUAACAGUUAGAAAUGACUGCUAAUACCGCAUAAGCGCACAGCAUGGCAUCAUGCAGUGCGAAAAACUCCGGUGGUACAAGAUGGGCCCGCGUUGGAUUAGCUUGUUGGUGGGGUAACGGCCCACCAAGGCGACGAUCCAUAGCCGGACUGAGAGGUCGAACGGCCACAUUGGGACUGAGACACGGCCCAGACUCCUACGGGAGGCAGCAGUGGGGAAUAA